AAUAGAUACCCGGGUAGUCCAUGCCGUAAACGUUGGGAACUAGAUGUAGGGCCUGUUCCACGGGUUCUGUGUCGUAGCUAACGCAUUAAGUUCCCCGCCUGGGGAGUACGGCCGCAAGGCUAAAACUCAAAGGAAUUGACGGGGGCCCGCACAAGCGGCGGAGCAUGCGGAUUAAUUCGAUGCAACGCGAAGAACCUUACCAAGGCUUGACAUACACCAGAACACCGUAGAAAUACGGGACUCUUUGGACACUGGUGUACAGGUGGUGCAUGGUUGUCAUCAGCUCGUGUCGUGAGAUGUUCGGUUAAGUCCGGCAACGAGCGCAACCCUCGUCCUAUGUUGCCAGCACGUGAUGGUGGGAACUCAUGGGAUACUGCCGUGGUCAACACGGAGGAAGGUGGGGAUGACGUCAAAUCAUCAUGCCCCUUAUGUCUUGGGCUUCACGCAUGCUACAAUGGCCGGUACAAAGGGCUGCGAUACCGCAAGGUGGAGCGAAUCCCAAAAAGCCGGUCUCAGUUCGGAUUGGGGUCUGCAACUCCG
rnacentral:rRNA from 1 species